UACUUAAUUCAAUCUUACCUA
rnacentral:piRNA from 1 species